rnacentral:rRNA from 1 species
UACGUAGGGGCAAGCGGUUGUCCGGAAUCAUUGGGCGUAAGCGCGUGUAGGCGGCCCGGUAAGUCCGCUGUGAAAGUCGAAGGCUCAACCUUUGAAAGCCGGUGGAUACUGUGAGGCUAGAGUACGGAAGAGGCGAGUGGAAUUCCGUGGUGUAGCGGUGAAAUGCGUAGAUAUCAAGGAGGAACACCGGUGGUGUAAACGGCUCUCUGGACCGUAACUGACGCUGAGACACGAAAGCGUGGGUAGCAAACAGG